GGAUAAUGGGAAUUGGAGUCCAGGAGACAAGGGAUCUGUGACAAUGUGGAUCAUGGGGGAGAGUUCAGGAUAACAGCAGGACUACACAAAUAUUCCCAUCGGCUCACUCUGGAUCUGAACACAGUGAAUAAGUGCCUCUGUCUGUCUGAGAGCAACACAGUGAUUACUAACACUUACCCACCAC